rnacentral:rRNA from 1 species
GACGAACGCUGGCGGCGUGCUUAACACAUGCAAGUCGAACGGAAAGGCCCUGCUUUUGUGGGGUGCUCGAGUGGCGAACGGGUGAGUAACACGUGAGUAACCUGCCCUUGACCUUGGGAUAACUUCAGGAAACUGGGGCUAAUACCGGAUAGGAGCUCCUGCUGCAUGGUGGGGGUUGGAAAGUUUCGGCGGUUGGGGAUGGACUCGCGGCUUAUCAGCUUGUUGGUGGGGUAGUGGCUUACCAAGGCUUUGACGGGUAGCCGGCCUGAGAGGGUGACCGGCCACAUUGGGACUGAGAUACGGCCCAGACUCCUACGGGAGGCAGCAGUGGGGAAUAUUGCACAAUGGGCGGAAGCCUGAUGCAGCAACGCCGCGUGCGGGAUGACGGCCUUCGGGUUGUAAACCGCUUUCGCCUGUGACGAAGCGUGAGUGACGGUAAUGGGUAAAAAAGCACCGGCUAACUACGUG